rnacentral:rRNA from 1 species
AGCGAAAGGGUGAGUAACGCGUGGGUAAUCUACCCUGAAGUUGGGGACAACUCUUCGAAAGGGGAGCUAAUACCGAAUGUGGUCCCCCCCCGCAUGUGGGGGAGACUAGAGGUGGAAUCCUUCGGGAUCUGCCGCUUCUGGAGGGGCCCGCGUGACAUCAGCUUGUUGGUGAGGUAAUGGCUCACCAAGGCUUACGUCUAGCUGGUCUGAGAGGAUGGUCAGCCACACCGGGACUGAGACACUGCCCAGACUCCUACGGGAGGCUGCAGUCGAGAAUCAUUCACAAUGCGCGAAAGCGUGAUGAUGCGACGCUGCGUGGAGGAUGAAGGCCCUAGGGUUGUAAACUCCUGUCAUGAGGGAAAAAACCGCACGGAUGUAAAUAGCGUCUGUGUUUGAUGGUACCUCAAGAGGAAGCCACGGCUAACUCUGUGCCAGCAGCCGCGGUGAUACAGAGGUGGCGAGCGUUGUUCGGAUUUACUGGGCGUAAAGCGUACGUAGGUGGUUUCGUGUGUCGGGUGUGAAAGCCCACGGCCCAACCGUGGAAUUGCACUCGAAACUGCGGGACUUGAGUGCAGGAGGGGAGAGCGGAAUUCAGGGUGUAGCGGUGAAAUGCGUUGAUAUCCUGAAGAACACCGGUGGCGAAGGCGGCUCUCUGGAAUGUUACUGACACUGAGGUACGAAAGCGUGGGGAGCGAACAGGAUUAGAUACCCUGGUAGUCCACGCCGUAAACGUUGUGCACUUGGUGUGGGCGGUAUUGACCCCGUCCGUGCCGGAGCUAACGCGUUAAGUGCACCGCCUGGGGAGUACGGCCGCAAGGCUAAAACUCAAAGAAAUUGACGGGGGCCCGCACAAGCGGAGGAGCAUGUGGCUCAAUUCGAUGCAACGCGAAGAACCUUACCUGGACUUGACAUGUAACUGCAUGCCCCGGGAAACCGGGGAGGCCUUCGAGGGUGUUACACAGGUGCUGCAUGGCUGUCGUCAGUUCGUGCCGUGAGGUGUUGGGUUAAGUCCCGCAACGAACGCAACCCUUGUGUUUAGUUGCCACCGGUGGUGAUGAGCCACCGAGCACUCUAAACAGACUGCCUGUACAAGCAGGAGGAAGGUGGGGAUGACGUCAAGUCAUUAUGGCCCUUAUGUCCAGGGCUGCACACGUGCUACAAUGGCCGGUACAAUGGGAAGCAAUACCGCGAGGUGGAGCAAAUCCUCAACACCGGUCCCAGUUCGGAUUGGAGUCUGCAACUCGACUCCAUGAAGUUGGAUUCGCUAGUAAUGCCGUAUCAGCUACGACGGCGUGAAUACGUUCCCGGGCCUUGUACACACCGCCCGUCACAUCAUGAAAGCCGUCUGCACCCGAAGUCGCCGAGCUAACCCGCAAGGGAGGCAGGUGCCGAAGGUGUGGGUGGUGAUUGGGAUGAAGUCG